rnacentral:rRNA from 1 species
UACGGAGGGGGCUAGCGUUGUUCGGAAUUACUGGGCGUAAAGCGCACGUAGGCGGCUUUGCAAGUCAGAGGUGAAAGCCUGGAGCUCAACUCCAGAACUGCCUUUGAGACUGCAUCGCUUGAAUCCAGGAGAGGUGAGUGGAAUUCCGAGUGUAGAGGUGAAAUUCGUAGAUAUUCGGAAGAACACCAGUGGCGAAGGCGGCUCACUGGACUGGUAUUGACGCUGAGGUGCGAAAGCGAGGGGAGCAAACGGG